AUUGAACGCUGGCGGCAGGCCUAACACAUGCAAGUCAAGCGAGCGGCGGACGGGUGAGUAAUGUAUGGGGAACUGCCCGAUGGAGGGGGAUAACUACUGGAAACGGUGGCUAAUACCGAAUACUAUCGGAUGAACCCAGAUGGGAUUAGCUAGUAGGUGGGGUAAAGGCUCACCUAGGCGACGAACUCUAGCUGGUCUUAGAGGAUGAUCAGCCACAAUGGAACUGAGACACGGUCCAGACUACUACGGGAGGCAGCAGUGGGGAAUAUUGCACAAUGGGCGCAAGCCUGAUGCAGCCAUGCCGAGUGUAUGAAGAAGGCCUUCGGGUUGUAAAGUACUUUCAGCGGGGAGGCGUUAAUCGCAGAUGAAGCACCGGCUAACUCCGUGACAGCAGCCGCGGUAAUAC
rnacentral:rRNA from 1 species